AUCACUGAAGUUAAGCAACGUUGAGCGUGGAUAGUACUUGGAUGGGUGACCGCUUGGGAACACCACGUAACGUUGGCG
rnacentral:rRNA from 1 species